rnacentral:rRNA from 1 species
UACGGGGGGAGCAAGCGUUGUUCGGAUUUACUGGGCGUAAAGGGCGCGUAGGCGGCCACCGCAAGCCAGUUGUGAAAUCUCUGGGCUUAACCCAGAACGGUCAGCUGAUACUGCGGGGCUAGAGUGCAGAAGGGGCAACUGGAAUUCUCGGUGUAGCGGUGAAAUGCGUAGAUAUCAGGAAGAACACCUAUGGCGAAGGCAGCUCUCUGGGACGGUACUGACGCUGAGACGCGAAAGCGUGGGGAGCGAACAGG